GUUAGGGUUGGUUGGGGUAAUGUUAGGGUAGGGUAGGGUUAGGGGUAGGGUCCUGUUCCCCGCUCCCCGUUCCACAUUUUAGUAACAUCCAUAUAAAAACAGGAAUGUUGGCAGGGCUCAUCAAUGGAAACGUACAACACAGGCAGCUCAUCGCUGGGAACGUACAUAACAAUUUCUAGCGGGAUUAGGCAGCAGCUCAGUUUAUUAAUUUUGUGCAAAGUCCAACAACUGUUUUGAACUCAGGUUAUGUAUUUUUAUAAACAGAUUAAUGACAACUUCUGUUCGCUCAUACAAACUCUGUUAUAGAUCUAAACUCCUCAACGUGAGCCUGUAAAUCUAAAAUUAACCCAAAAUAGCUAGUCUUUGAAAAGGUUCACUCAAGAAUUUCACUCGGUUGUAAGUUUCUAGUGAUGGGCACCUGUUGUUGAAUGAUUUAUUGUUAAUAUUUGGAUGAAUUAUAAACAGUAUAUCAUAGCUUGGUGUGUUUCAUACUUCGAUGCUAUCAAAAACUACUGGUAAACCUGUACAGAUGUACUGUUCCUGCGUGGAAGGCGAGAGCUGAGCUGCGGGGUGCUGACACGGCAACAUAACGGUCAACAGUCUUCAUGUUGUUGCUAGGCAAAGCGAAGAAAGAAGAGCCAAAACGGGAGUGCUCCUAGGAAGUGGAAAAGGAAAAUAAGUUAUUUCGAAUGACACCUCAAUUACCUCAACUAGCAAAUUUUCGCGCGACACGAGCUGUGAUUAAUGGCAGCGCACGAUUUUAAUCAAAGUUCUUCUGCUCAAAAAUGGAUAGUUUUAGCACUUUGGUAUUCCCUGCUAGCAGAGGCCUCUUUUUUUGUAUUUUUCAGCGAAAUACAGAGAAAAGAGGUCUCUGGUAGCAGUAUGUAUCGUCAAAUGCGUGUGUGUAUACUUAUACAGAGAAAAGAGGUCUCUGGUAGCAGUAUGUAUCGUCAAAUGCGUGUGUGUAUACUUAUACAGAGAAAAGAGGUCUCUGGUAGCAGUAUGUAUCGUCAAAUGCGUGUGUGUAUACUUAUACAGAGAAAAGAGGUCUCUGGUAGCAGUAUGUAUCGUCAAAUGCGUGUGUGUAUACUUAUACAGAGAAAAGAGGUCUCUGCUAGCAGUAUGUAUCGUCAAAUGCGUGUGUGUAUACUUAUACAGAGAAAAGAGGUCUCUGGUAGCAGUAUGUAUCGUCAAAUGCGUGUGUGUAUACUUAUACAGAGAAAAGAGGUCUCUGGUAGCAGUAUGUAUCGUCAAAUGCGUGUGUGUAUACUUAUACAGAGAAAAGAGGUCUCUGGUAGCAGUAUGUAUCGUCAAAUGCGUGUGUGUAUACUUAUACAGAGAAAAGAGGUCUCUGGUAGCAGUAUGUAUCGUCAAAUGCGUGUGUGCAUACUUAUACAGAGAAAAGAGGUCUCUGGUAGCAGUAUGUAUCGUCAAAUGCGUGUGUGUAUACUUAUACAGAGAAAAGAGGUCUCUGCUAGCAGUAUGUAUCGUCAAAUGCGUGUGUGUAUACUUACUCCUCCAGAUGAUAUCGCAAUUGAUGCCUGCAACAAAGCGGUGUACUGUUAAAACAACACUAAUUCACAUCUUACCCCAACAUUAUGUGAAGCUGAUAUUUUCAAAUGAAACGAUAGGUAAGAGCAUCAAUUAAAAAAAAAAAACUGCUAAAAUAGACCUACAGUACCGUGAUUGUUCGAAUACGCGCCGGGAUCCCAGGCGAGGCACUUAUUUCAAAAUCCUUUACAUUUCUAGUUAAAUGCUUGCUUUGUUACAUUGUGUAAGGAGUCAAAAUCCUCCAAGUCCCAUAUAAGACCAUCCUCGGGGACCCAGGGCGACGCGGACACAGGAAGCACGCGC